rnacentral:lncRNA from 1 species
AGGCCCAUCACUGAGGUACUUCAGCACAACCUUCAUUUUAAAUGGCUUCCCUAGCGUUGCUGCAGUGCUUCCAGUUGUGGAAAUGCUGAAGCACCUGCCCAGACUGGAGUGGGAAAUACUGAUAAGAGAGGCAUCAGCCUCUCUCUGUUGCACUGCCACUGCAGGGGAUGGGAUCAUAAACCAGCAAUUAGGGAAGGGUUAAAGAGACCUAAGGACACUGGUGAAGGUGACAGGAAAAUUAAUUUAUUUUUCAGUUCUGGUUUUGUGUGCUGAGAUCUCGAGGAAAUGUUGAAAAUGUUAUCUCAGCAAUUUACACUUGUUUUUAAUGUGAU